rnacentral:rRNA from 1 species
UGGGGAAUAUUGCACAAUGGAGGGAACUCUGAUGCAGCGACGCCGCGUGAGUGAUGAAGGAAUUCGUUUCGUAAAACUCUGUUCUAUGGGAAGAAAAGGACUGUACCAUAGGAGAAAGCUCCGGCUAAUUACGUGCCAGCAGCCGCGGUAAUACGUAUGGAGCGAGCGUUGUCCGGAAUUAUUGGGCGUAAAGGGUGCGCAGGCGGCUUUACAAGUUGGAUGUGAAAUAUUGUGGCUCAACCACAAACGUGCAUCCAAAACUGCAAAGCUUGAGUUAAGGAGAGGUAAGUGGAAUUCCUGGUGUAGCGGUGGAAUGCGUAGAUAUCAGGAGGAAUACCGGUGGCGAAGGCGACUUACUGGACUCAAACUGACGAUCAGGCACGAAAGGGUGGGGAGCAAACAGG